UACGGAGGGGGCAAGCGUUACUCGGGAUUAUUGGGCGUAAAGGGCGCGUAGGCGGUCGUGCGCGUCGGAGGUGAAAUCCCCGGGCUUAACCCGGGAGCUGCCUCCGAUACGGCACGACUUGAGUCCGGGAGAGGGGAGCAGAAUUCCCAGUGUAGCGGUGAAAUGCGUAGAUAUUGGGAGGAAUACCGGUGGCGAAGGCGGCUCCCUGGACCGGUACUGACGCUGAGGCGCGAAAGCGUGGGUAGCAAACAGG
rnacentral:rRNA from 1 species